rnacentral:rRNA from 1 species
GAUGAACGUUGGCGGCGUGCCUAACACAUGCAAGUCGAGCGAUUCUCUUCGGAGAAGAGCGGCGGACGGGUGAGUAACGCGUGGGUAACCUGCCCUGUACACACGGAUAACAUACCGAAAGGUAUGCUAAUACGGGAUGACAUAAGAAAUUCGCAUGUUUUUCUUAUCAAAGCUCCGGCGGUACAGGAUGGACCCGCGUCUGAUUAGCUAGUUGGUGAGGUAAUGGCUCACCAAGGCGACGAUCAGUAGCCGACCUGAGAGGGUGAUCGGCCACAUUGGAACUGAGACACGGUCCAAACUCCUACGGGAGGCAGCAGUGGGGAAUAUUGCACAAUGGGCGAAAGCCUGAUGCAGCAACGCCGCGUGAGCGAUGAAGGCCUUCGGGUCGUAAAGCUCUGUCCUCAAGGAAGAUAAUGACGGUACUUGAGGAGGAAGCCCCGGCUAACUACGUGCCAGCAGCCGCGGUAA